UUAGAAGUUAGUGGGCCUCAACAGAGAUUUUGCUAAGGAAUAAGAUGAUUUUUCGCAGCCCAAUCUGCUACGUACAGGGCUAGUUCCAAGGUACGAGGCCUGCUUGGCAAUAUGCUUUGUAAGCCGGGAGGGCGGUCCGCUGAUCCUUAGGACGUGACGUGAGAAAGAAAGCGGGGUUGGGGGCGAAAGGAAGCGGUGGAUAAGAAAGGCCGUCCCCCACUCCCCAAGGAUGAAACUCCACGUAGAUGUUUAGGGCUUGCGGCCUGUGCCCAUCCUUUUUCUUCGCCGUUUUACGCAGCGAGAGCCAGUGUCUGUCCACGCAGUGUCCGGGGCGGGGAUGCUGGAGUAGACGGGCAGAAACAACUGCUUCCGCCCGAGAUACGCGCCUCCAUCUUUCCGUGUAUUGGCCUGCGCUUUUCUUCGGGGCAGCGCAGUGGACAGUACCGGAUUAAGCCAAGCGAGUCUGUUUCUCUCGAUUGCGACACCCAAAGGCAGGAAGAGUGAGAACUGCGGUUACUGGAAAGCGCCACUGGAUCCCACCCUUCCCAGCAUCUUGCGAAAGACAGUUGAUUCGAAGGAGUUAAGCGCCCUAGUGACACAGGGCAACGAAGCAAAGGGAGUCUUGCAAAUUGUAUCUUAGAAAAAGGCACAGUUUGAAACCUUUCCUGGCAUGCUAGCCAGCCGAUAGGAAAUCUACGCGCUCAGUACGAGCACAUCAGAGAUUGAACACCGCUUUCGUGCGGGCGGCAGCGACCCCUCAGAUCGGACUUCCCGAAAAGCCCCACAAGCCUUCGGGAUGGCUUUCAUUACCCACGUGGCCAAGCACGUGUUUCUUGACUGCACAGUCGUCUUGCGUGCGCCGAAGAGCCUGACGUGUUGUGCGGUUAUUUAGUGUAAGAGGGGUGGUUUUGGACGUUUUUGCCUCAAGUAAAUCCGGAAAUAUGUUCGACUUAGAUUAUGACUGCGUUUAGACCAGGUAGUGAAUGAGCUGAUUCUUCAUGUUGAAUGGCUACCACAUGGACUGAUUGCUACUAUAUGGACUGAUAUGGCCUGCAGAAGGAUAGGAAAUCAUGGACAGCUUCUGACUUCUAUUUCUUCCUCAACUUUGAAUUCUUAUAAGAGUUCAGCAUGUACAAAUCAAAUACAUAGUAUAUGCAUGGUGUCUGACUUUUUUUAUCCAAACAUGGGAGGAGUAGAAAGCCACAUUUACCAACUCUCACAAUGCCUGAUUGAAAGAGGACAUAAGGUUAUCAUAGUCACUCAUGCUUAUGAAGACCGGAAAGGCAUUCGUUACCUCACCAAUGGAUUAAAAGUCUAUUAUUUGCCAUUAAAAGUCAUGUAUAACCAAUCUACAGCAACAACUCUCUUCCACAGUCAGCCACUGCUCAGGUAUAUAUUUGUACGGGAAAGAAUCAGCAUUGUCCAUGCACAUAGUUCAUUUUCUGCAAUGGCCCAUGAUGCGCUGUUCCAUGCUAAGACAAUGCAGCUACGGACAGUUUUUACAGACCACUCCCUUUUUGGAUUUGCUGAUGUGAGUUCGGUGCUUACAAAUAAACUCUUGACUGUAUCACUAUGUGAUACAAACCACAUAAUAUGUGUUUCUUACACUAGCAAAGAGAACACUGUAUUGAGAGCGGCACUGAAUCCUCAGAUAGUAUCUGUUAUCCCUAAUGCUGUAGAUCCUACUGACUUCACUCCAGAUGCAUCUAGAUGGGGCAGCAACACAAUAACUGUUGUUGUUGUCAGCAGACUUGUAUAUAGAAAAGGUAUAGAUUUGCUCAGUGGUAUAAUUCCCGAGCUUUGUCAGAAGUAUCCAGAUUUAAAUUUUUUAGUUGGAGGAGAAGGACCAAAACGGAUUGUAUUAGAAGAAGUGCGAGAAAGAUAUCAGCUACAUGACAGAGUCCGUCUUCUGGGAGCUUUAGAACAUCAGGAUGUCAGAAACAUUUUGGUUCAGGGCCAGAUUUUUUUAAACACUUCUCUCACAGAAGCAUUCUGCAUGGCAAUUGUGGAAGCUGCCAGUUGUGGUUUACAGGUGGUGAGUACAAGAGUUGGUGGGAUUCCUGAAGUGCUACCAGAUGAUCUUAUAAUCUUGUGUGAACCUACAGUAAAAUCCCUGUGUAAUGGAGUAGAAAAAGCUAUUAGCCAACUGAAGGCAGGAUCACUUCUUUCUCCUGAACUUAUACAUAGCAAAGUGAAAAUGUUCUACACUUGGAGAAAUGUUGCAAAGAGAACUGAAAACGUUUAUGACAGAGUGGCAAGUGAAACUGUAUUGCCAAUGGGCAGACGGCUUGACCUACUUACCUCUCACUGUGGCCCUGUGACUGGUUGUAUUUUUGUUCUUUUGGCCAUCCUUAGCUAUUUAUUCCUCAAAUUUUUGAGAUGGCUGACACCAGAUGACCUUAUUGAUAAAGCAGUUGAUGCCACAGGCCGGUUUGGAAUGUGGACACAGGAGCCUUUCCCUGAUGGAAACAGAAAAGGAAAGAUCACAAACUCUUCAAGCUGCUAAAAACUGAGAAAUGAUUUCAGUUCCCUACAGGUUUAGUAUUGUUGGUUAGGCCGACGUUCACCAAAUGAAAACAUUUAUAAGUUGUUGAAGAGCUUUCUUAAGCGGUUGGAAACAAAUUUGUUCUUCAUGGCCUCUGUGAAUCACACCGUGAGUGAUCUGUGCCUGCGUGGAGCCUCGUCAGAAGAUUCUUGAGCUGCUGCGGUAGCAAAAAACCACAUUAGACUAGACGCUUCCCCCACCACACAAGUACAUUGGCGCCAAGACUCUCCCUUCAGUUUCUUUUAACUGCCGUGAAGAGUCUCUUAUUUCUAGCUUCUCUGAGUUAAAAGUGAGAGUUUUUAUUCUUGAUUCCUAAUGUUUUUUCUUUCAUUUUUAUUUCUAAAUUGCUAAUAAUACAAACUGUUCCCUAGGUUUUUUUCCUAGUGCCUUGGCGUCUGGCCAUUGCCCCUCCCCGUUCCUCUUUAUUUUAUGACCCUCCGUUUAAACACUGUGUGGUUUGUGAUAAUAAAAUUCCACUGUUGGAUAGCCACACAAAGUGCCUUUUUUGUCUAGGCAAGGCACACCAAACCUUGUGUGCUCAUUUUAAUAAUUUCAAAAGGGGAGUCCUCCAUUCUCGCCUUUCUAGACUUAAACUCCAUCUCUGGGAGCAAUCUUUACAACCUGUAAAACCUGUGGCUUAAACCUCUAUGUAAAGCUGCCUCACAGGCUAAAGCCAUGGAAAAAGCCAUCUCUGAAUUAACUAAACAGCGCCCUUCAGCUACACCAUCACACUCUGAUGCCCCUUUGACUUCAUCAAAAACUUCUAAGAGACACAGACCCAAGCACUUGACAUUGAAAACCUCAACAUUGAAGUCCUCCGGGAAGCAAAAAAUGUCUCCCAAGACCUCCUCAGUUACACAUCCUCCUCAAUCCAAAAGAUCUAAACAAAGACAAAAUCCCCUGUAAUCACUCUGCAACAGGUCUCCGAAUCUGGCAAUUUGAUUUGUGUUGGUUCACCUUCUGAUGAAGAAGGAAUCCCAUCUCACCAGCCAACAUCUCAAUCACUGGAAUGGGACAAGUGAGUAGAUUAUCUUACUUCCUCGCCUGCUAGUCCCCAACAGUCUAUCUCUCCAAGUAACCCGUCCAUGGACGCCUCACUGGAGAGAGCGAAAUCAGAGCCUCAGCCCGACACUGUGCUCUAUCCUGUACCAUCCAGCCUGCUGCCACCACCACCAACGCACUACCAUGUGCAUCAGGCUUAUGAAGCAAUUCCGCCAGCAUGCACGGGCCAAAGCCACGCUCAGCACUCUCAUCGGGUAGCCAUUUGCCCCGAUCAAUGUUCUACUAAUAAAUCCACCAGAGCUGUUCAACCGAUCAUCUUGUCUGGCCCCACAGCACUAUUACACCAGCAACCUCCAUCUCGACACCCUUCGGUGUCAAAAUGAGCUUAUCAACCAGACAUGCGUGGUCAUCAAACAGUUGUAUACCAACCGCCUCAAAAUCUCAAGGCAAUUGACAAACGCUUCCAGUCGUGAAGCAUUUGCAGCCGGUCAGCUGAUAUUUUCCAGCUCAAAAUGAUGGAGAUUGUUCUUCCCGCUUGGCGUGUCCGGCCUCAAUCUGUUUGACAGGCCCGCUGACGUGCCCAUCAAAUCAGCCACAGUCGCCUUUUUGACAUCACAGAGAUACUGGCUCCGAUAUUGAUGACUCUCAAUAUCAGUCCUGGUGCAUGGAUGCUCCAGUUCACACUUUUCCAAGCGCUGACUCUUGAUAUAGACACCAACCUAAACACGUAGCCCAUCAAUACCAAGAUGUCGACUAUGACACCAAGGCCCACAGAUUUUUACCUUUGUCCACAGCCACACCAAUGUCGAUGGCAGUUGAUAUCUUUGACGUCGACAGAUGUCCAUGGACAUGCCACCUCAUUCGGUAGCAGGCCACCGAGAACAUUACAACUUCUCGACACCGAAGUUGACUGAUGUUCUAUCAAUUCCAGACCUGAUCCCGAAAUCUCAGAACGUGGAUCCUGGCCACAAACUCCCAUCUGUGCUUCUCACAUCACCAGAUUCUGACCUGGCAGAUGUAGAUCCUCUAUCACCGGCAGAGGAUUUUCAAACAUAUGCUCAACUCAUGGUUAAGUCUUUGAAUCUACAGACCCAUCUCCCCACAACUGAAACAGAUACAACUACUCCAGUCCAUAUUUUCAUGCUACCAUCCCUUCUCAGCACUGCUCAAUGAUCCUGGACCAAGCCAGCCUCUCAUUUGGUAUCAAAAUGAAUCGAUAAUCUUUACCAUAUAUAUAGCGGAAUCCAAAAAGGUGAUGUCAUUCCUGCCUGUCCAUCACAGCAAAAAAAGGGGAGGAGCCAAGGAUAGAGCAGGAGGGGCACAGCUGGAGUGACAGGGAGUUGAAGGGACAAUUAGGGACAAUUCAGCAGUUGAAGAAGUUUCCAAAAGAGAAAAAUAUGAGGCUCAGGCCAGACAAAGUAAGCAAGAUCUUGAAAAAUGGAAUCUGCAAAAAGACAUUAAAUUAAAAGAAAUCAAAGCUAAGACUGAAGAAAAAUUAAAAGAAAUAAGAGCUAGGGCUGAGGAACAGAUGGUACAGCUCAGGGACGAACUAAGAGUAAAACUGAGGGAAGUUACAGUUCAAAAAUAUAAUAAUAAGGAAUUCCAUCCUGAAGGGAAUCUAUCAAAACCAGCUGAAUAUAUAAAAGAAGUAAAGAACUCAAAUUAUUCUGAGGUAAAAUUUGAAGGGAAAGCUUGGGAUGACAGAAAGAGAGAACCCAGAAUGUACCUCAGAGAUCAACCGACAGUUGGAAGCCAUUUUAAGGGCAAGCCCUCAGAGCAGGGCCAGUAGAAAUUUAAAAACUGGGAAGGGAAAGGAGAGAAAUCUAGUUUUGAAUGAAAAGCUGUUAGAUGUUUUGCUUGUGGAGAACAAGGCCACUUUAAAUUGCAAUGUGUUAAAAAUAAAGAUUUUGGGCAACAAAAAGGGAAUUUAGAGGUACUUAAGAAAGUAUAUUGCAUAUAGCAGAAGGAGGUACCUACAGGGGCAGUUGAAGCAGGUGCCAUGGCAACCACAGUUAGUGCUAGAGCAGAGAGCCCAGAACAACAAGAACAACUCCCAGUAGCUCAAAUUCUCCAAUGUUACUUGAUUGAAAAUAAUCAGGAACUAUGAAAUAUUCUGGGGAUGCUAUUUAUAUAAAUGAGACUAAAUAUUCAGCUCUAAAGGACUCAUGCUUUCAAGUAACAUUAUGCCAUCCAGAAAUAAUCCCUUCAGAAUUUAUAGUGAAAGGAGAAAGCAUAAAAGUCGAAGGAAUUGGGACAAAGAUAAUUACAUUACCAGUGGCAAAAAUACCAAUAAAAUAUCAAGGGUGGACUGGUUGGUGGAAAAUAGGAAUUGCUAGUGAACUGCCAGUGUCAUGCCUGAUAGGUAUAGAUCUCUCUGAGCAUGUCUAGAGUGUUUUGGUGAGUACUGACUCCCAGAAAGAAAAUAAAUAUCUGAGGAAAAACUUGAGACCCCUAAUGAAAUAAUUAGGGGCAAUGAUGAAAUAGCUGAUUUGGUAACAAUGAGGAAUCCAAAUGAAAGUACAUUUAAAAAGGAUCAAGAAACAGAUCCAACUUUAGAACAAUGCGUUAAAAUGGUUGGCAAAGAUCCAGUAACCCCUGAGAACCCCGAGAGGUACUUUGAGGAAAAGGGCCUUUUAUAUAGUGAGAUCUUAAUAAAUCCCAGGAGAGAAGGGGAGAACCUUCAGAAACUACUAAUAGUUCUUUCUAAAUACAGACAGAAAAUAUUGGAAAAAAGUUACGCAGACACCUUAUCUGGACAUUUAGGUAUUACAGCGACUAAGCAAAGAAUAUCUCAGAAGUACUAUUGGCCAAAAAUUGGAAAGGAGAUAAAAGAAUGUUGUCAUAGUUGUGACAUAUGUCAAAGUAAAAGAAAUAGGGAGGAUAAAUCCAAUAGGGAUUAUUACAAUAAUUAUAUUGAAGACAUUAAUAAGAUUUUUAAUCAACUGAAACAUGAACACACAGAACAACUGAAACAUGAACACGGAGAGGUGUCAGUACUUGGAAAGAGUAGGGAUGAGUUGAAGCAGGUUAAUUUUGUGUAUACAAAAUCAAAAGGAAGACAGGAAACACUAAAUUCAAAAUUAGAACAAAAUUGGGAGAAAAUAGAGGGGAAGCAAGGUCCUGAAACAGCAAUUCAAUGUAUAGAUAACUUAGGGAACACUUUGCAGAGACCCCUUGAGAUUGCAGCAGAUGGUCUGCAGGGCCAGCAACAGAAACAGGAGCUAGAGGCUGACAGAAAAGCCAAAGAGAUAGCAUUUAACCCUGAAGAUGAGAAUCUGAGCUAAAACCCUCCAAAGGAAAAAAGUUACAAUUAAAUGGGGCAGAUCCACACAAAAUAAUCCCCAAAAUGAAUAAAAUAAGUUAUAGAAGCCAAGAGAAGGGAGAACCAGUAGUAGCACAGGGAGCAGUGCACCAAAUUGAUACUAGAGGUGCAACUCUAAAGGGUACACCAGAGUUCAGGGAAUUAGCUGUCCCUACAUUUAACCUGACACAAAAAGAAAGCUGAAAAUAUCCAUGGGGCGAGCAACUGUGAGGAGGUCGUUGGGAAGCGGAAGGAGGCGGUGAUGGCCAGUCUGAUUGUGAGAGGCUUAGAGUUCCACGCUGAGUGACAGAUUCGAACCCAGAGCCAAGCAGACAAGAAAGAUCAUCGGCCAGCUAUGUUCCUGAAUGGAAAGCUGCAGACGGGUGAGACACCUUGCAUCGAGGGAACGUUAAGUGUGACAAAAGGGGGUGGUUGUUACAGGAAAUCAAGCUGUGCAAGGGGAAAGGACAAUUUGGACUAUGCACAGAUUCAGUACCUUUAAUGGAAUUACGAACUGGGAAAGCCUACAAGAACAAGCUUGCAAACCGGAAGAGGAACUUGCAAGGUUUGGACUUUGAAUUUCGCAGAAAAAGAAAGACUCAAAAGAUAGUUGCUAAAGCCUGGGCACAGAGACAGAAGGAAGAGAAAAAAAGACUACUGAAAGAAAAUGUAGAAUGGAAUAAACUUCCAGUUAUGUAUAAAAAUAAGUAAUUGCAAAAGUAAUUGUCCUUUGAAAUGAAAGAAUAGUAAGAAAUGUAGGAUGUAAUAAACUGUUCCAGUUAUGUGUAAAUAAAAAUAAAUAACUGCAAAUGUAAUUGUACUUUAAAUGAUAGAAUGGUAAGCAAUGGAAAAGUGUAAUAACAAGGAAAUUGAAAGUGUUGGUUGCAAAUGUUAAUUGACUGAGGUUAAUGAUGUUGAGUAAGUAUUAAUGUGAAUUAAAAAUGUGUAAUGUUAUUAUAAGUUGGGUAAAUAUUAAACUGCUUCUACAUUCUUCAUGGAGCAAACCACUAUAGGUUUACUUCAUGGAACAAACUUGCUAAGGGGGGAGGUAUGUAGCGGAAUCCAAAAAGGUGAUGUCAUUCCUGCCUGUCCAUCACAGCAAAAAAGGAGGAGGAGCCAAGGAUAGAGCAGGAGGGGCGGAGCUGGAGUGACAGGGAGUUGAAGGGACAGUUAGGGACAGUUGGAGUUAGGGAGAGGUAGAAAGACCAGAAGAUGUAUAGAGAGUGUUAGGGUUUAGGAAUAGAUUAAAGGGGUUUAGGAGAGAAAAUUGAAAGUAAAACACAUGUAACAAGCAGGAAUGAACGUAUAAGCAUAACAAGAGAUAUAUAAAAUUGAUAGUAAAGCGAUUGCAUGAUCUAAAAAGUAUUAACACCUGAACGGACUCAUAUAUGAUUUUCCUGUUGUUUUUUGUCAUAACGACCAGA